rnacentral:rRNA from 1 species
GUGAGGAAUUUACCGCAAUGGGCGAAAGCCUGACGGAGCAAUGCCGCGUGAAGGAUGAAGGCCUAUGGGUUGUAAACUUCUUUUCUAAGAGAAGAAUAUUGACGGUAUCUGAGGAAUAAGCAUCGGCUAACUCUGUGCCAGCAGCCGCGGUAAGACAGAGGAUGCAAGCGUUAUCCGGAAUGAUUGGGCGUAAAGCGUCUGUAGGUGGCUUCAAAAGUCUCCUGUCAAAGAUCAGGGCUUAACCCUGGGCCGGCAGGAGAAACUCUGAGGCUAGAGUUUGGUAGGGGCAGAAGGAAUUCCCGGUGGAGCGGUGAAAUGCGUAGAGAUCGGGAGGAACACCAAAGGCGAAAGCACUCUGCUGGGCCACAACUGACACUGAGAGACGAAAGCGAGGGGAGCAAAAGGGAUUAGAAACCCUAGUAGUCC